rnacentral:rRNA from 1 species
UAGGGAAUAUUAGUAAUGGGCGAAAGCCUGAACUAGCAACACCGCGUGUGCGAAGAAGGCCUUCGGGUUGUAAAGCACUUUUUGAGAGGAUGAGGAAGGACGGUACUCUCAGAAUAAGUCUCGGCUAACUACGUGCCAGCAGCCGCGGUAACACGUAGGAGGCAAACGUUAUCCGGAUUUACUGGGCGUAAAGCGCGUGUAGGUGGUUUGGUAAGUAGAGCGUGAAAGCUCCUGGCUCAACUGGGAGAGGUCGUUCUAAACUGCCGGACUAGAGGAUGGUAGAGGGAUGUGGAAUUCCGGGUGUAGCGGUGGAAUGCGCAGAUAUCCGGAGGAACACCAGUGGCGAAAGCGGCCUCCUGAGCCACUCCUGACACUCAGACGCGAAAGCUAGGGUAGCAAACG